AACGAACGCUGGCGGCGUGCUUAACACAUGCAAGUCGAACGCGAAAGUUUUCUUCGGAAGACGAGUAGAGCGGCGGACUGGUGAGUAACGCGUGGGUGAUCUGCCCUUGGGAUGGGGAUAGCCACUAGAAAUAGUGGGUAAUACCGAAUACGUUCGGCACUUCGGUGUGCCGAGGAAAAGCGCUUCGGCGCUGCCCGAGGAUGAGCCCGCGUCCCAUUAGCUAGUUGGUGAGGUAAGAGCCCACCAAGGCGAUGAUGGGUAGGCGGCCUGAGAGGGUGUACGCCCACACUGGGACUGAGAUACGGCCCAGACUCCUACGGGAGGCAG
rnacentral:rRNA from 1 species